rnacentral:rRNA from 1 species
GCGGUGAUAUGCGUAGAGAUCUGGAGGAAUACCGAUGGCGAAGGCAGCCAUCUGGCCUAAUACUGACGCUGAGGUACGAAAGCAUGGCGAGCAAACAGGAUUAGAUACCCUGGUAGUCCAUGCCGUAUACGAUGUCUACUAGCCGUUGCGGCCUAUGAGGCUUUAGUGGCGCAGCUAACGCGAUAAGUAGACCGCCUGGGGAGUACGGU